AGAGUUUGAUCCUGGCUCAGGAUGAACGCUGGCGGCGUGCCUAAUACAUGCAAGUCGAGCGGCAGCGCAGGGUGCUUGCACCCUGGCGGCGAGCGGCGGACGGCUGAGUAACGCGUAGGAACCUACCCCGAAGUGAGGGAUAAGCAUCAGAAAUGGUGUCUAAUACCGCAUGUGCUCUAAGGAGUAAAGCUUUGGCGCUUUGGGAAGGGCCUGCGUCCGAUUAGCUUGUUGGUAAGGUAAUGGCUUACCAAGGCGACGAUCGGUAGCUGGUCUGAGAGGAUGAUCAGCCAGACUGGGACUGAGACACGGCCCAGACUCCUACGGGAGGCAGCAGUAGGGAAUUUUCCACAAUGGGCGAAAGCCUGAUGGAGCAACGCCGCGUGCAGGAUGAAGGCCUUCGGGUUGUAAACUGCUUUUCUUUGUGAAGAUUAUGACGGUAGCAGAGGAAUAAGGAUCGGCUAACUCCGUGCCAGCAGCCGCGGUCAUACGGAGGAUCCAAGCGUUAUCCGGAAUUACUGGGCGUAAAGAGUUGCGUAGGUGGCAUAGUAAGCAGAUAGUGAAAGCGUGUGGCUCAACCAUAUAUACAUUAUCUGAACUGCUAAGCUUGAGGACGAGAGAGGUAGAUGGAAUUCCCAGUGUAGGAGUGAAAUCCGUAGAUAUUGGGAGGAACCCGAUGGCGUAGGCAGUCUACUGGCUCGUUCCUGACACUCAGGCACGAAAGCGUGGGGAGAAACGGGAUUAGAUACCCCCGUAGUCC
rnacentral:rRNA from 1 species